UCCCUCCCAGUCCCUCCCAGUACCUCUGCACCAGCACGGCGAGCCGCGGGGGGGGGAUUUGGAAAAGCAGCUGCUGCAGGAGCCGGGGGGGGGAGUGCAGGAGCCGCUCCAGCAUCUGGAACGUGCGGAAGUGGUCGCGGGUAUCGCUCUGCAGCACCGCCACCGACGUCCCCGCCCGCUCCAGGACCCCCCCCUGAAGGCGGCGGGACACGGCCUCGGCCACUGCGGGGUCACACGGGGUCAGACGUGGGGUCAGACGGGGUCAUUGGGGUCAUAUGGGGUCAUAUGGGGUCAGUGGGGUUGGGGGGAGAUGGGGCUCCAGGACCCCCCCCUGCUGGCGGCAGGACACGGCCUCGGAUACUGCGGGAUCAUAUGGGGUCAGACGUGGGGUCAGACAGGGUCAUUGGGGGUCAUUGGGGUCAUAUGGGGUCAUAUGGGGUCGGGGGGGUCACAGGGAUAUGGGGGUCUGUGAGGUUGGGGGGCAGAUGGGGCUCCAGGACCCCCCCCUGCAGGCAAUGGGACACAGCCUCGGGCACUGCGGGGUCACACGGGGUCAGAUGUGGGGUCAGACGGGGACAUUGGGGUCAUACGGGGUCAUAUGGGGUCAUAUGGGGUCAGUGGGGUUGGGGGGAGAUGGGGCUCCAGGACCCCCCCCUGCUGGCGGCGGGACACGGCCUCGGUCACUGCGGGGUCAGACAGGGUCACAUGGGGUCAGAUGUGGGGUCAGGCGGGGUCAUUGGGGCCAUACGGGGUCACUGGGGUCAUAUGGGGUCAUAUGGGGUCGGGGGGGUCACAGGGAUAUGGGGGUCUGUGGGGUUGGGGGGCAGAUGGGGCUCCAGGACCCCCCCCUGCAGGCGGCGGGACACAGCCUCGGCCACUGCGGGGUCAUAUGGGGUCAGACGUGGGGUCAGACGGGGUCAUUGGGGUCAUAUGGGGUCAUAUGGGGUCGGGGGGGUCACAGGGAUAUGGGGGUCAGUGGGGUUGGGGGGGGGGCAAAUGGGGCUCCAGGACCCCCCCCCUGCAGGCGGCGGGACACAGCCUCGGUCACUGCGGGGUCACACGGGGUCAGACGUGGGGUCAGACGGGGUCACUGGGGUCAGACGGGGUCAUAUGGGGUCA
rnacentral:lncRNA from 1 species